rnacentral:sRNA from 1 species
GUAUCUCCCCCUUCCAGACCGAGUUCUGCAAUCCUGCCUUCGAGCCUGAGUCUGGGCCACCCUGCCCUCCCCCAGUUUUCCCAGAGGAUGCCAGCUACAGCGUCCCAGCUCCCUGGCAUGGUCGGCGUCCUCGAGGGCUACGGCCAGACUGCCGCUUCUCCUGGCUCUGUGUCCUCCUGCUCUCCAGCCUGCUCCUCCUGCUGCUUGGGCUGCUGGUGGCCAUCAUCCUGGCCCAGCUGCAGGCUGCAGCCCCAUCUGGGGCGUCCCAUAGCCCACUGCCUGCCGGAGGCCUUGCCACGACCACCACCACCCCCACCAUCACCACCUCUCAGGCAGCUGGGACCCCUAAAGGGCAGCAGGAGUCAGGCGUGAGCCCCUCCCCACAGUCCACCUGUGGAGGCCUCCUCUCUGGCCCAAGGGGCUUCUUCAGCAGCCCUAACUACCCAGACCCUUACCCCCCCAACACCCACUGCGUGUGGCAUAUCCAGGUGGCCACAGACCAUGCAAUACAGCUCAAGAUCGAAGCCCUCAGCAUAGAGAGUGUGGCCUCUUGCCUUUUUGAUCGCUUGGAACUCUCCCCUGAGCCUGAAGGCCCCCUCCUCAGGGUUUGUGGAAGGGUGCCUCCCCCCACGCUCAACACCAAUGCCAGCCACCUCCUGGUGGUCUUCGUCUCUGACAGCAGUGUGGAAGGAUUUGGUUUCCAUGCCUGGUACCAGGCUGUGGCCCCUGGGCACGGGAGCUGUGCCCAUGAUGAGUUCCGCUGUGACCAGCUCAUCUGCCUGCUACCUGACUCAGUGUGUGAUGGUUUUGCCAACUGUGCUGACGGCAGUGAUGAGACCAAUUGCAGUGCCAAGUUCUCGG